UACCAGCACCCCGAGUGGUCGGGACGUUUAUUGGGCCUAAAGCAUCCGUAGCCGGUUCUACAAGUCUUCCGUUAAAUCCACCUGCUUAACAGAUGGGCUGCGGAAGAUACUAUGGAGCUAGGAGGCGGGAGAGGCAAGCGGUACUCGAUGGGUAGGGGUAAAAUCCGUUGAUCCAUUGAAGACCACCAGUGGCGAAGGCGGCGACCUGGUCCUUGACUGACGCUGAGGCGCGAAAGCGUGGGGAGCAAACAGG
rnacentral:rRNA from 1 species